rnacentral:rRNA from 1 species
GUGAGUGACGAAGGUUUUCGGAUCGUAAAACUCUGUUGUGAGGGAAGAACAAGUGCCACCUAACUACUGGCACCUUGACGGUACCUCACCAGAAAGCCACGGCUAACUACGUGCCAGCAGCCGCGGUAAUACGUAGGUGGCAAGCGUUGUCCGGAAUUAUUGGGCGUAAAGCGCGCGCAGGCGGUCCUUUAAGUCUGAUGUGAAAGCCCACGGCUCAACCGUGGAGGGUCAUUGGAAACUGGAGGACUUGAGUGCAGAAGAGGAAAGUGGAAUUCCAUGUGUAGCGGUGAAAUGCGUAGAGAUGUGGAGGAACACCAGUGGCGAAGGCGACUUUCUGGUCUGUAACUGACGCUGAGGCGCGAAAGCGUGGGGAGCAAACAGGAUUAGAUACCCUGGUAGUCCACGCCGUAAACGAUGAGUGCUAAGUGUUAGGGGGUUUCCGCCCCUUAGUGCUGCAGCUAACGCAUUAAGCACUCCGCCUGGGGAGUACGGCCGCAAGGCUGAAACUCA